GGCCGGUUAGCUCAGUGGUUUGAGCGCGGUGCUGACAAUAAUGACCAACACCGAGGUCGCGGGUUCAAUUCCCGCUCGGUCC
rnacentral:tRNA from 1 species